UACCGAGGGCUCAAACGGUGUUCGGAAUUACUGGGCGUAAAGCGAAUGUAGGUGGCUUUUCAAGUCGGAUGUGAAAUCCCUAGGCUUAACCUAGGACGUGCGUCCGAUACUGGAGAGCUCGAGUGCGGUAGAGGAAAGUGGAAUUCCUGGUGUAGGGGUGAAAUCCGUAGAUAUCAGGAGGAAUACCGAUGGCGAAGGCAACUUUCUGGUCCGUAACUGACAAUCAGAUUCGAAAGCGUGGGGAGCAAACAGG
rnacentral:rRNA from 1 species